rnacentral:misc_RNA from 1 species
AGAGUUAAACAGUACGUGAAAUUGUUGAAAGGGAAACGAUUGAAGCCAGUCGUACCUUCGGGUAAUCAGCCUUUCGGGUGCGAUUCUGUGGGGUGUGAAGAGUUAAACGCCUUCAUGUUUUGCAUAUUCGUGCUCUUGGGUGUACUUGCCCGUGUGGUUGGUUAACAUCAAUUUUGGACGCCAUAAAAUGACUGGAGGAAUGUAGCUUCGAUCUCGUAUUGAAGUGUUAUAGCCUUCGGUAGAUGUGGUUUUCGAGAUUGAGGAUUGCAACGGAUACCCCUCGGGGCUACUCAUCUGAUCUCUGAUCGUUGCUCUGGUGCCGAAAGCUUGCUUACGGUUAUCAAAGUCGAUGGUCAAUAGGUUAGAAUGGGUUAAAUUCGUUAAGGAUGUUGACGUAAUGGCUUUAAACGA